GGGUUGUGAGGUUAAGCGACUAAGCGUACACGGUGGAUGCCCUGGCAGUCAGAGGCGAUGAAGGACGUGCUAAUCUGCGAUAAGCGUCGGUAAGGUGAUAUGAACCGUUAUAACCGGCGAUUUCCGAAUGGGGAAACCCAGUGUGAUUCGUCACACUAUCAUUAACUGAAUCCAUAGGUUAAUGAGGCGAACCGGGGGAACUGAAACAUCUAAGUACCCCGAGGAAAAGAAAUCAACCGAGAUUCCCCCAGUAGCGGCGAGCGAACGGGGAGCAGCCCAGAGCCUGAAUCAGUGUGUGUGUUAGUGGAAGCGUCUGGAAAGGCGCGCGAUACAGGGUGACAGCCCCGUACACAAAAAUGCACAUGCUGUGAGCUCGAUGAGUAGGGCGGGACACGUGGUAUCCUGUCUGAAUAUGGGGGGACCAUCCUCCAAGGCUAAAUACUCCUGACUGACCGAUAGUGAACCAGUACCGUGAGGGAAAGGCGAAAAGAACCCCGGCGAGGGGAGUGAAAAAGAACCUGAAACCGUGUACGUACAAGCAGUGGGAGCACGCUUAGGCGUGUGACUGCGUACCUUUUGUAUAAUGGGUCAGCGACUUAUAUUCUGUAGCAAGGUUAACCGAAUAGGGGAGCCGAAGGGAAACCGAGUCUUAACUGGGCGUUAAGUUGCAGGGUAUAGACCCGAAACCCGGUGAUCUAGCCAUGGGCAGGUUGAAGGUUGGGUAACACUAACUGGAGGACCGAACCGACUAAUGUUGAAAAAUUAGCGGAUGACUUGUGGCUGGGGGUGAAAGGCCAAUCAAACCGGGAGAUAGCUGGUUCUCCCCGAAAGCUAUUUAGGUAGCGCCUCGUGAAUUCAUCUCCGGGGGUAGAGCACUGUUUCGGCAAGGGGGUCAUCCCGACUUACCAACCCGAUGCAAACUGCGAAUACCGGAGAAUGUUAUCACGGGAGACACACGGCGGGUGCUAACGUCCGUCGUGAAGAGGGAAACAACCCAGACCGCCAGCUAAGGUCCCAAAGUCAUGGUUAAGUGGGAAACGAUGUGGGAAGGCCCAGACAGCCAGGAUGUUGGCUUAGAAGCAGCCAUCAUUUAAAGAAAGCGUAAUAGCUCACUGGUCGAGUCGGCCUGCGCGGAAGAUGUAACGGGGCUAAACCAUGCACCGAAGCUGCGGCAGCGACGCUGAUGCGUUGUUGGGUAGGGGAGCGUUCUGUAAGCCUGUGAAGGUGUGCUGUGAGGCAUGCUGGAGGUAUCAGAAGUGCGAAUGCUGACAUAAGUAACGAUAAAGCGGGUGAAAAGCCCGCUCGCCGGAAGACCAAGGGUUCCUGUCCAACGUUAAUCGGGGCAGGGUGAGUCGACCCCUAAGGCGAGGCCGAAAGGCGUAGUCGAUGGGAAACAGGUUAAUAUUCCUGUACUUGGUGUUACUGCGAAGGGGGGACGGAGAAGGCUAUGUUGGCCGGGCGACGGUUGUCCCGGUUUAAGCGUGUAGGCUGGUUUUCCAGGCAAAUCCGGAAAAUCAAGGCUGAGGCGUGAUGACGAGGCACUACGGUGCUGAAGCAACAAAUGCCCUGCUUCCAGGAAAAGCCUCUAAGCAUCAGGUAACAUCAAAUCGUACCCCAAACCGACACAGGUGGUCAGGUAGAGAAUACCAAGGCGCUUGAGAGAACUCGGGUGAAGGAACUAGGCAAAAUGGUGCCGUAACUUCGGGAGAAGGCACGCUGAUAUGUAGGUGAAGUUGCUCGCGGAUGGAGCUGAAAUCAGUCGAAGAUACCAGCUGGCUGCAACUGUUUAUUAAAAACACAGCACUGUGCAAACACGAAAGUGGACGUAUACGGUGUGACGCCUGCCCGGUGCCGGAAGGUUAAUUGAUGGGGUCAGCGCAAGCGAAGCUCUUGAUCGAAGCCCCGGUAAACGGCGGCCGUAACUAUAACGGUCCUAAGGUAGCGAAAUUCCUUGUCGGGUAAGUUCCGACCUGCACGAAUGGCGUAAUGAUGGCCAGGCUGUCUCCACCCGAGACUCAGUGAAAUUGAACUCGCUGUGAAGAUGCAGUGUACCCGCGGCAAGACGGAAAGACCCCGUGAACCUUUACUAUAGCUUGACACUGAACAUUGAGCCUUGAUGUGUAGGAUAGGUGGGAGGCUUUGAAGUGUGGACGCCAGUCUGCAUGGAGCCG
rnacentral:rRNA from 1 species